GGGCAGUUAGCUCAGAUGGAAGAGCAUUUCCCCUACAAGGAAGAGGUCGCAGGUUCAAGUCCUGCACUGCCCACCA
rnacentral:tRNA from 1 species